GAUGAACGCUGGCGGCGUGCCUAAUACAUGCAAGUCGAGCGAACAGACGAGGAGCUUGCUCCUCUGACGUUAGCGGCGGACGGGUGAGUAACACGUGGAUAACCUACCUAUAAGACUGGGAUAACUUCGGGAAACCGGAGCUAAUACCGGAUAAUAUAUUUAACCGCAUGGUUCAAUAGUGAAAGACGGUUUUGCUGUCACUUAUAGAUGUAUCCGCUCCGCAUUAGCUAGUUGGUAAGGUAACGGCUUACCAAGGCAACGAUGCGUAGCCGACCUGAGAGGGUGAUCGGCCACACUGGAACUGAGACACGGUCCAGACUCCUAAGGGAGGCAGCAGUAGGGAAUCUUCCGCAAUGAGCGAAAGCCUGACGGAGCAACGCCGCGUGAGUGAUGAAGGUCUUCGGAUCGUAAAACUCUGUUAUUAGGGAAGAACAAAUGUGUAAGUAACUAUGCAAGUCUUGACGGUACCUAAUCAGAAAGCCACGGCUAACUACGUG
rnacentral:rRNA from 1 species